rnacentral:rRNA from 1 species
GACGAACGCUGGCGGCGUGCUUAACACAUGCCAGUCGAACGGAAAGGCCCUGCUUUUGUGGGGUGCUCGAGUGGCGAACGGGUGAGUAACACGUGAGUAACCUGCCCUUGACUUUGGUAUAACUUCAGGAAACUGGGGCUAAUACCGGAUAGGAGCUCCUGCUGCAUGGUGGGGGUUGGAAAGUUUCGGCGGUUGGGGAUGGACUCGCGGCUUAUCAGCUUGUUGGUGGGGUAGUGGCUUACCAAGGCUUUGACGGGUAGCCGGCCUGAGAGGGUGACCGGCCACAUUGGGACUGAGAUACGGCCCAGACUCCUACGGGAGGCAGCAGUGGGGAAUAUUGCACAAUGGGCGGAAGCAUGAUGCAGCAACGCCGCGUGCGGGAUGACGGACUUCGGGUUGUAAACCGCUUUCGCCUGUGACGAAGCGUGAGUGACGGUAAUGGGUAAAGAAGCACCGGCUAACUACGUG